GCCCUGCUGAGGCACUGUCCUUCAUUGGUGGGGUCCCGAUGUCCUGCUCUCCUCCUUCCAGCCCCACCACCCCACCCGAGUACCAGCUCACUGGCACUGGUUUCUUCACUGAGCAUGGAUGUCACGGGUGCUUGCUGUCAUGCGGGACGUGGACUCCCAGAGGCCUGUCACAGAGAAGCGCACAGUGGCUCAUUAUACAUGAGCUGAUGGUGAGGAAGCCUGUAGUUCUGUCUGGGGCCACACGUCGAGGUGCCUGCCGCCCUGGACAAGAGAAGCUGUGACUCCAAGUCCAGGUCACUAGAAACCCUUCAAGGCCUGUUCCUGCUGGUGAGCCCCCAGUGUGGCCCCGUCAGAAACAGGAGACAAUAAAUGGAGACGGAUGGUCUGUCCGGGGAGUGACACCACCUUCCUUUGGGCCGGCCCCUCCCCAGCUGGGCCUUCACUGAAGGUGCAGGAAGGGGUUUGGAGACAUGGGUCUAGCUCAUCACAAAAACUCAUCACAUUUCAGCUCAUCACAAACAUCCUGAGUGACCUAAGAAAAUUAUUUGAUCUGUUUAUAGUUUUCUUUCCUUCCACCUAAGAAAAUUCAUGUGAACUAAUCUCCUAUAAUAAGAAAGUGUAAAGAGUUUUGUGGUGCGACAAAUGACUUUUGUCCUUUUCAGAGUCCUCAAUCAAUAAUGGAUUCUUAGAUGGCUAAAAUCAACAACACAAGAAACAACAGGUAUUGGCGAGGAUGUGGAGAAAGGGGAACCCUCUUGCACUG